rnacentral:rRNA from 1 species
AGCUCCAAUAGCGUAUAUUAAAGUUGUUGUGGUUAAAAAGCUCGUAGUUGGAUCUCGGCGGUCUGAGGGCGGUUCACUUGCUAGUGCUACUGCCCUAUAGACCGUAGUUUUGUCAGAGGUCUCUGGGUGCUCUUAAUCGAGUGUCUCGCGAUGCUGGCAGGUUUACUUUGAAAAAAUUAGAGUGCUCAAAGCAGGCUUUUACGCCUGAAUAUUCGUGCAUGGAAUAAUAGAAUAGGAAGUCGUUUCUAUUUUGUUGGUUUUCGGAAAUCGACUUAAUGAUUAAUAGGGACAGUCGGGGGCAUUUGUAUUCAAACGACAGAGGUGAAAUUCUUGGACCGUUUGAAGACAAACUACUGCGAAAGCAUUUGCCAAGAAUGUUU